CACUGCUGUGAUUAUUUCCUAAGAACCCUGAAACACCAAUCCAAAAGAACCUAUGCACCCCAAUGUUGAUAGCAGCACAAUUUAGAAUAGCCAAGUGCUGAAGCAACCUAAGUUCCCGUAAGUACAUGAAUGGAUCAAACAAUUUUUUUACAUUCAGACA